GGGGAUGUAUUUCAAUUGGUAGAAGUCAUGCUUUGCACGCAUGCGGUUAUCGGUUCGAGCCCGAUCAUCUCCA
rnacentral:tRNA from 1 species